rnacentral:rRNA from 1 species
UACGUAUGGGGCGAGCGUUGUCCGGAAUUAUUGGGCGUAAAGGGUACGUAGGCGGUUUUGCGGGUCCAUAUUAAAAGGCAAUGGCUCAACCAAUGUUAGGUGUCGAAACCAUAAGACUUGAGUAGAUGAGGGGCAAGUGGAAUUCCUAGUGUAGCGGUGAAAUGCGUAGAUAUUAGGAGGAACACCAGUGGCGAAGGCGACUUGCUGGACUCUAACUGACGCUGAGGUACGAAAGCGUGGGGAGCAAACAGG